rnacentral:rRNA from 1 species
GAUGAACGCUGGCGGCGUGCCUAAUACAUGCCAGUCGAGCGAACGGACGAGAAGCUUGCUUCUCUGAUGUUAGCGGCGGACGGGUGAGUAACACGUGGAUCACCUACCUAUAAGACUGGGAUAACUUCGGGAAACCGGAGCUAAUACCGGAUAAUAUUUUGAACCGCAUGGUUCAAAAGUGAAAGACGGUCUUGCUGUCACUUAUAGAUGGAUCCGCGCUGCAUUAGCUAGUUGGUAAGGUAACGGCUUACCAAGGCAACGAUGCAUAGCCGACCUGAGAGGGUGAUCGGCCACACUGGAACUGAGACACGGUCCAGACUCCUACGGGAGGCAGCAGUAGGGAAUCUUCCGCAAUGGGCGAAAGCCUGACGGAGCAACGCCGCGUGAGUGAUGAAGGUCUUCGGAUCGUAAAACUCUGUUAUUAGGGAAGAACAUAUGUGUAAGUAACUGUGCACAUCUUGACGGUACCUAAUCAGAAAGCCACGGCUAACUACGUG